CGGCGUUGGGUCUGCUCCAUGGGCUGCUUCGCCAGUGUCUAGCAUGCAUUCAGUUGAGCUUUGCCAGCCAAGCCGAUAACGACGACGACGUGCGCCCCCGUCCGAACUGUUACCAGAGUUGUAGUGUCCGUCAGAAGUGGUUCGUGUCCGCGGUAGUACGGAAAGCAAAAGAAGCAACAGCCACAGAAGCCACAACCGCCGCAAGCCGCAGCCAAAACAAAAAAUCAAGAAAACACGUUUUUAACUCCCGCACAUUGAAAAACGCAUUUUUUGCCCAUAACUUGUUGAAAAAAUAGAAAGCAAAAAGUUCAUAAAUCAAGAAUUUCACAAUAUGCAAAAAUUUUAAUUCAUAUAAUUUUCACAUCAAUUUCUUGUUUGUGUUUCAUAAUUUAAUGUGAAAAAAUAGUGGAAAAGGCAUAUAAAUAUUGAUGUGUUUUGGUUUGAGUAGUGUCUCUUUUACUUUUGAAGUUUGUUUCGUUUUUGUGUUAAUUUUUGUGCAUUUUUAAUGAAUUAAUUACAAUUUAUGAGAAGCAACAAUUUCCAAAAAGAGUUUCCUGACCAAUGAACGGGAGGGAGUAGAUAAAAAGCAUUUAAUUUAUAUAAAAUCUAAAAGCUAAAAGCUUCUGUACAAUUGGUUUGCCAUAGACUCGCGACGUGUUUGUUUGGAGGUAAUGUGAUCAGCGAUCUGGAAGCAAUUAGAAGCCGCAUACAACAAAAGGUAAGGGACGAGUACGAACAUCAGCCAGACAUUGAUUUUUGUCAUAACGCCCUCGCUCGCGCCCUCGCAUUCAUUCAACUUUAUUCAUCUUUCGACUCAUUUCCACUCACUGUUUUGAGUUGUGGCCGGCAAAGAGAAAGUGCAUCUCAUGAGGCGGCCGGCCCGUAAUUUGCCAGAACCCAUAAUUAACGCCUAAACAGACACGAGGCGGCCCAACUCGAGCCCCUCUCUGACUCUUUUUUCUCUCUUUUUCAUUAUGGCAAUCAAGUGCUCGUAUUCCGAAUCAAGUGGACUCUGGAAGACAAGAUUUCAUUUCAUUUCGUUACGUUUCUUUUUUAAUUAUAGAGAACACUAGACAGCUCUCGGCUGUGGGUGUGGGUGUGGGUGUGUGGGGGCGUAGGCCCCAGAAACGGGUCAAGAAUUGCCAGAGAUGAAGGGAAAACUGCUAGCGAAAGUUGAAAAAGUGACAAAAAGUAAUGACACGCGAGGGGGGGGAGGGCUUACUUAUACACGUGUAUUCUCCAUCUAAUGGUCUGUUUGGUCUUAGGUAAUCUUAGCGUCUAAAGCGGCUCUUCUCUUACGCAUUAGUGAGGCUCAUCAGGUUCGCCGCUUAAGUCAUUCGUUUCGGCCGCAGACAGUGCGUGGACUUGGCACCGUUACACAGGCCACAGACAUGAUGGCGAAGGGGAAGCGGCAGAAGACGCAGAAGGUGGCUGCCACAAAUGCUGCCUGACGGCGGCUUCAUUAAAAUGUCUGCCUUGAAGAUUGGCCUGGCCAAAACCGUUUUGUUUUCGUAUGCACCCUGGGAUUUUGCUGUAGGGCGCCGAGGGUAUAUAGCGUUUUCGUGUGGAUGUGUGUGUGACAGGCGAAAGAGGAAUUUUAAUUUGCGACUACACUUGAUUCUCUGAUACUCUGACAUCCGUAAGAUAUUGCCAUCAUAUGGCUAUCAGCCAUAGCUACAGGGUAAUCCCCUUGCCGUAAUACCGUUCUAGGCCGCUUUGGCUUGUUUGAAAUUGAAACGUCUAUGUCUGGUGUGCAGAGACUGCGGCUGAGACGGCCAAAUGCAUCAUCGUCUGUGGCACGUUGUGGAUGUCAGCUUAUCGCGCCAGACGAACGCAUCUUGGCGGGUUGGAAGGGGCGAAAGGAGAGGAAGGGGAGGCCAUGGCUUUGGGCCUGCUCAGGGUCUGAAGCUUCCGCCUUGGCCAGGUUCAAGAUACACCAGCUUCAGCUGAAGCUACAGCUUAAGCUUCAAUUCCAACGCCCGCCGCCACAGCCCCAGCCACAGCCACAGCCAUCGUCAUCGCCACCAGCGAGCAAUUUUCAAUUUGCCAAUUGUAGCAGUAAAAUUUUGUAUAUGUAGCUGUUCUUUCUGUCGCUUCUCUCUCGCUCUUUA